rnacentral:rRNA from 1 species
CCUACGGGUGGCUGCAGUGAGGAAUAUUGGUCAAUGGGCUUACGCCUGAACCAGCCAAGUCGCGUGAGGGAAGACUGCCCUAUGGGUUGUAAACCUCUUUUGUCAGGGAGCAAUUGGCGCUACGUGUAGCGUUAUCGAGAGUACCUGAAGAAAAAGCAUCGGCUAACUCCGUGCCAGCAGCCGCGGUAAUACGGAAGGUCCGGGCGUUAUCCGGAUUUAUUGGGUUUAAAGGGAGCGUAGGCCGGCUUUUAAGUCAGCUGUGAAAGUCCGCGGCUCAACCGUGGAAUUGCAGUUGAAACUGGAGGCCUUGAGUGCACACAGGGAUGCCGGAAUUCAUGGUGUAGCGGUGAAAUGCUUAGAUAUCAUGAAGAACUCCGAUCGCGAAGGCAAGUGUCCGGGGUGCAACUGACGCUGAGGCUCGAAAGUGCGGGUAUCAAACAGGAUUAGAUACCCGGGUAGUC